AAAAAAAAACCAUUUGGGUGCAGCUGUCAACAUUAUGUUGUUAUCUUAAUCAAUAAAAAGACAAUUACCAUAUCAACAACAAAAACAUACAAUGGCAUAAAAACAUUGAAGACAAUGCACAUAAGCGAAAAUGAAAGCAAAAAUGCACAAAAUGACAACAGCAAAAACACACAAUGGCGGGAUGUAGAAAUACCGAGCUACGUCAAAAAAGAUAUUCAAAAUGGUUUAAACAAUAAAGGUUAAAAACAUACAAGGACAAAUAAAAAAUACCUAAUUUUAACAAGUAACUAAAAUGAUAAACAACGUCAGUAUCUAGAAUCCUAUACUUCAUGACCAUCAUGUAUUGUUGUGAAGUUGAUACGGAAUAUUUACCAACAAGGUCUUGGUUUUUUCGAAAGAACGUUUAAACUUAAUAUCUAGCUCUGGCAAAUAUAUUAAUGAAACACAAAUAGAAAAAAAUGGA
rnacentral:lncRNA from 1 species